CUUGGUCAUUUAGAGGAAGUAAAAGUCGUAACAAGGUCUCCGUAGGUGAACCUGCGGAGGGAUCAUUACAGAGUUCAUGCCCUCCGGGUAGAUCUCCCACCCACUGCUAUCACUACUCUCGUUGCUUUGGCGGGCCGCUGGGCCCUGCCCGGCCGCCGGCCCCGGCUGGCGCGUGCCCGCCAGAGACCUCACAGACUCUGAAUGUUAGUGUCGUCCGAGUAACUAUACAAUCGUUAAAACUUUCAACAACGGAUCUCUUGGUUCUGGCAUCGAUGAAGAACGCAGCGAAAUGCGAUAAGUAAUGUGAAUUGCAGAAUUCAGUGAAUCAUCGAAUCUUUGAACGCACAUUGCGCCCCUUGGUAUUCCGAGGGGCAUGCCUGUUCGAGCGUCAUUAUAACCACUCAAGCCUAGCUUGGUAUCGGGGUUCGCGUGUUCGCGGCUCUUAAAAUCAGUGGCGGUGCCGUCUGGCUCUAAGCGUAGUAAAUCCUCUCGCUACAGAGUUCCCGGCGGUUACUUGCCAAAAUCCCCCCACUUUUUUAGGUUGACCUCGGAUCAGGUAGGGAUACCCGCUGAACUUAAGCAUAUCAAUAAGCGGAGGA
rnacentral:rRNA from 1 species